rnacentral:rRNA from 1 species
AUACGAAGGGGGCAAGCGUUGCUCGGAAUCACUGGGCGUAAAGCGCACGUAGGCGGGUCGUUAAGUCAGAGGUGAAAGCCUGGAGCUCAACUCCAGAACUGCCUUUGAUACUGGCGACCUCGAGUUCGAGAGAGGUUGGUGGAACUCCGAGUGUAGAGGUGAAAUUCGUAGAUAUUCGGAAGAACACCAGUGGCGAAGGCGGCCAACUGGCCCGAUACUGACGCUGAGGUGCGAAAGCGUGGGGAGC